GUCUGCGUGGCGCAGUUGGUCAGCGCGUAGGUCUCAUAAUCCUGAGGUCGUGGGUUCGAACCCCCCCGCGGACA
rnacentral:tRNA from 1 species